UGAGGAAUAUUGGUCAAUGGGCGAGAGCCUGAACCAGCCAAGUCGCGUGAAGGAAGACUGCCUUAUGGGUUGUAAACUUCUUUUAUACAGGAAUAAAAAGGCUUACGUGUAGGCCAUUGCAAGUACUGUAUGAAUAAGCAUCGGCUAACUCCGUGCCAGCAGCCGCGGUAAUACGGAGGAUGCGAGCGUUAUCCGGAUUUAUUGGGUUUAAAGGGUGCGCAGGCGGGCUUUUAAGUCAGCGGUGAAAUCUGGACGCUUAACGUCCAAACUGCCGUUGAAACUGGGAGUCUUGAGUAUGGAUGAAGUAGGCGGAAUUCGUUGUGUAGCGGUGACAUGCAUAGAUAUAACGAGGAACUCCGAUUGCGUAGGCAGCUUACUAAGCCAUAACUGACGCUCAUGCACGAAAGCGUGGGGAUCAAACAGGAUUAGAUACCCUGGUAGUCCACGCCGUAAACGAUGAUUACUAGUUGUAUGCGAUAUGAUAGUAUGUGACUAAGCGAAAGCGAUAAGUAAUCCACCUGGGGAGUACGCCGGCAACGGUGAAACUCAAAGGAUUGACGGGGUCAUAGCUGUUUCCUG
rnacentral:rRNA from 1 species